AUGCAAGUCGAACGGUAACAGCAGAAGCUUGCUUCUGGCUGACGAGUGGCGGACGGGUGAGUAACGCGUAGGAAUCUGCCUUAUAGUGGGGGAUAGCCCGGAGAAAUCCGGAUUAAUACCGCAUACGCCCUACGGGGGAAAGUUGGGGAUCUUCGGACCUGGCGCAAUUAGAUGAGCCUGCGUGAGAUUAGCUAGUUGGUGGGGUAAGAGCCUACCAAGGCUACGAUGGUUAGCGGGUCUGAGAGGAUGAUCCGCCACACUGGAACUGGAGCACGGACCAGACUCCUACGGGAGGCAGCAGUGAGGAAUUUUGCGCAAUGGGGGAAACCCUGACGCAGCGACGCCGCGUGGACGAUGAAGGCCUUAGGGUUGUAAAGUUCUGUCAGAAGGGAAGAAAUGCAUAUAAGCCAAUACCUUAUAUGUUUGACGGUACCUUCAAAGGAAGCACCGGCUAACUCCGUGCCAGCAGCCGCGGUAAUACGGAGGGUGCAAGCGUUGUUCGGAAUUACUGGGCGUAAAGGGCGCGUAGGCGGCCUGAUAAGUCAGAUGUGAAAGCCCACGGCUCAACCGUGGAAGGGCAUCUGAAACUAUCAAGCUUGAGUAUGGGAGAGGAAAGUGGAAUUCCCGGUGUAGAGGUGAAAUUCGUAGAUAUCGGGAGGAACACCAGUGGCGAAGGCGACUUUCUGGACCAAUACUGACGCUGAGGCGCGAAAGCGUGGGUAGCAAACAGGAUUAGAUACCCUGGUAGUCCACAGCUGUAAACGAUGUCAACUAGGUGUUGGGGGUGUUGACCCCUCCAGCGCCGCAGCUAACGCAUUAAGUUGACCGCCUGGGGAGU
rnacentral:rRNA from 1 species